GAGAUGAGGCUCAGUGGUAGAGCACUUGCCUGGCAUGUGUGAGGCACUGGAUUCGAUACUCAGCAUGACA
rnacentral:tRNA from 1 species